rfam:Peptoniphilus lacrimalis 315-B contig00011, whole genome shotgun sequence.
AUUACAAGCUAUAAAGAGAAGAAAAAAUGACUAUUGGGGCUCAAAUAGUACUGGAAGUUAAUAAGAAUAAUUAAAAUAAUAGUUUCAAGUGGUUUACUUGAGGGCAAAAAAUUAGACCGUAGUUUAAAGCUGC